UUUCCCUAUUCUGACUUACCUGCUUUGCAUCACUUUUCCGGAAUUUGGGGCCAGUGUAGACGUAGCCACAGAGUCCAAUUUUUCUGAUUUUUUUCCAGUUUGGUCUUGUUGACCCUCUGCUUUUGUCCCAAUAAUUUAGAGAGUGAAACUUUGUACUUAUGGUAUUUGUGAGCACAACUGAUAUUAUUUAUAACCCUUUAAGGUUGGCUUAACUCUGCUACCAUUCAAAUCCAUGGUCAACAAUGGUUAGAGAACAGUUAAGCCAGUCCUGAGCAUUUUGAAAAACUGCACUCCAGCUGUCUACCUAAUUGUGCCAUAAUUGCACCUACAAAUCAGGCUCUCAGCCCCUUGCUUUCACUGGUACCACCAUGAAGCAUAACCAUAGACUUCACCUUGCAGUGACAACAAAAGCCAGCUAAAGAGACAUAGAAGAAUCUGAUAUUCCAAACAGGACCAUUGGUGGCAUGGGAUGGAUUCCAUCACAUUGAUCAUGUUUGUACAUCACAAGCAAUUUGAUCUGAGGAAGUGGGUCUGGCCCACGAAAGCUCAUCACCUAAUAAACCAACUUGUUAGUCUUUAAAGUGCUGCAUAGUCCUGUAUUUUAUUUCAGCUAGACUAGACUAACAUGGUUACAUUUCUAUUACUAAAGUAAAUAUAGUGAUCCCAGAAUUC